UCCCUAAUGGCUAAGAUGGUAAAGAAUCUGCCUGCCAAUGCAGGAGACACAGGUUCUGUCCCUGAUUGGGGAU
rnacentral:tRNA from 1 species